UACGAAGGGUGCUAGCGUUGCUCGGAAUCACUGGGCGUAAAGCGCACGUAGGCGGAUUGCUAAGUCAGGGGUGAAAUCCUGGAGCUCAACUCCAGAACUGCCUUUGAUACUGGCGAUCUCGAGUCCGGGAGAGGUGAGUGGAACUGCGAGUGUAGAGGUGAAAUUCGUAGAGAUUCGCAAGAACACCAGUGGCGAAGGCGGCUCACUGGCCCGGUACUGACGCUGAGGUGCGAAAGCGUGGGGAGCAAACAGG
rnacentral:rRNA from 1 species